CGGAAUCUACUCUGUCGUGGGGGAUAACGUAGGGAAACUUACGCUAAUACCGCAUACGACCUACGGGUGAAAGCAGGGGACCUUCGGGCCUUGCGCGAUUGAAUGAGCCGAUGUCGGAUUAGCUAGUUGGCGGGGUAAAGGCCCACCAAGGCGACGAUCCGUAGCUGGUCUGAGAGGAUGAUCAGCCACACUGGAACUGAGACACGGUCCAGACUCCUACGGGAGGCAGCAGUGGGGAAUAUUGGACAAUGGGCGCAAGCCUGAUCCAGCCAUACCGCGUGGGUGAAGAAGGCCUUCGGGUUGUAAAGCCCUUUUGUUGGGAAAGAAAUCCAGCUGGCUAAUACCCGGUUGGGAUGACGGUACCCAAAGAAUAAGCACCGGCUAACUUCGUGCCAGCAGCCGCGGUAAUACGAAGGGUGCAAGCGUUACUCGGAAUUACUGGGCGUAAAGCGUGCGUAGGUGGUCGUUUAAGUCCGUUGUGAAAGCCCUGGGCUCAACCUGGGAACUGCAGUGGAUACUGGGCGACUAGAGUGUGGUAGAGGGUAGCGGAAUUCCUGGU
rnacentral:rRNA from 1 species